AUGAAAUCAAGGUUAAAAGAACAUGUUGGUGAGGUUCAAGGUGAAACUUUGAAGGUUGCAUAUUUUGCUCGAUUGAAUGCCGCUAUUGACACAGCUAGACUAUUGCUGAAGCAAGGGUUGCCUUUCCGGGGACAUGAUGAGUCAAAGAACUCGCACAAUAGAGGAAACUUCUUGGAAGUUCGUGACUUCUUAGCUGAGCAUGAUCCAGUUGUACGCAAGGCUGUGGGAAAAGAUGCUGCAAAGAAUUCUCUUAUGUCUGCUCCUGAAGUCCAGAAAGAUAUUGGUGAAGGUUUUGCGCAUGUGAUAGUGCAAUCUAUUCUGAAAGAAGUUCGCAAUAAUGUGUUUUGUUUGCUUGUUGACGAGUCUAGAGAUGUCUCUGGCAAAGAACAAAUGGCUGUGGCCUUGAGGUAUGUUGAUAGUUCUGGGGAUUCUAAAGAAAGUUUUGUUGGUCUUGUGCAUGUGAAAGAAACAGCGUCUUCAUACCUCAAGAGUUCAAUUGAUUCUCUUUUUGCAAAAUAUAAAUUGAGUUACAAUCAAGUUAGAGGACAGGGGUAUGAUGGUGCUAGCAAUAUGCGAGGUCAGUUUAAUGGCCUCAAAUCAUUGAUCAUGAGAGAAAGUAGCACAGCUUAUUAUGUUCAUUGCUUUGCUCACCAGCUUCAAUUAGUUGUUGUGGCUGUGGUAAGAAAGCAUAAAGGAGUUAGUAAUUUCUUCAGCAUGAUUUCUACCUUGCUAAAUGUUGUGGGUGGAUCUUCCAAGCGAAGGGACAUGAUUAGAGAUAUUAAUCUUGAAGAAAUGAGAAAGGCUUUAGGGUGUGGACAGCUUACAAGAGGAACAUGA
rnacentral:rRNA from 1 species